GACGAACGCUGGCGGCGUGCCUAAUACAUGCAAGUAGAACGCUGAAGGAGGAGCUUGCUUCUCUGGAUGAGUUGCGAACGGGUGAGUAACGCGUAGGUAACCUGCCUGUUAGCGGGGGAUAACUAUUGGAAACGAUAGCUAAUACCGCAUAAUAGUAGAUGUUGCAUGACAUUUGCUUAAAAGGUGCAAUUGCAUCACUACCAGAUGGACCUGCGUUGUAUUAGCUAGUUGGUGGGGUAACGGCUCACCAAGGCGACGAUACAUAGCCGGCCUGAGAGGGGGAACGGCCACACUGGGACUGAGACACGGCCCAGACUCCCUCGGGAGGCAGCAGGAGGGAAGCUUCGGCAAUGGACGGAAGGCUGACCGAGCAACGCCGCGGGAGUGAAGAAGGUUCUCGGAUCGUAAAGCUCUGUUGUAAGGGAAGAACGAGUGUGAGAGUGGAAAGUUCACACUGUGACGGUAUCUUACCAGAAAGGGACGGCUAACUACGUG
rnacentral:rRNA from 1 species